AAAAAAAAAAAAAAAAAAACCCAUUGAGGAAAUGAAGUUUACAUUUCUUGUAUGGUUCUUCAUCUUCUUAUGUGGUCAUACCACAUCAAACAUGGCUUUUGAAGGCAAACCCACAUCAAAACAGGAAGAUUUCACUCUCUCAGAACCUGGUAAAUAUGGUCUAAAUGACACUGGGAGAUUGAAUGAAGAAGAUGAAAGAAAGGAAUACAAGGGAAACAAUGAACUUUUCCCCUCAAUCAAGGGACAGAAAGGGAAGGGAGCUUAUGGGGGUGCAAAUAUUGUUCACCGCCCACGCCCUGGUGAAAAAAAUGCAGCAAUAUUAACAGUAAAGCCUUCCUUCUUUGUGUCAGCCACCAUGUUGUAUGUGAGUUGGGCUUUGGUUCUCACGUCUCUCCCCAAUCUAAGUUAAAUUAGGCGCGAGGUCGAUGCUAAACUCUGAGUUCUCUCUUGGUGCCUAAUGGCAGAGUUUGGUGUAGCUCUUGGCAAGCAUAUGCUUGAACUACUUGAGCAUUUUGAUAUUGUUAAUGUCAAUCAUUUUUGUGGUUAGUACUUGGGUGAGUUUUACUAGCCAACAAUACGUUGGUUCAGCAGUAGGAGACUUAAAGCACUCUUAAAUAUUGCAAGUUUGAUUGGCCUCUCAAACAUAGGUGUGAUGGGAUUCCUCCAUGUGUGUGUGGAUGUGAUGGAAGCAAUGAUCUACUUGCUUCCCAUUUUCAUAUAUAAAAAAACGCAAGUGUUAUCAGAUGUGGGCCAUUUUUUUUAAUUUUUUGAAAUUUUAUUGUUU
rnacentral:misc_RNA from 1 species